GUCCCCAAGUGCAACAUCUACAUCUUUUAAAUACCUCCAGGUUUGGUGGCUUCACCUCUGCCCUUGAAGCCUGUCCCAAUAUUUGACAGCCCAUUCCAUGAACAAAUUUUUCCUAAAAUCCAAUCUAAACCUCCCCUCGCACAAUUUGGGGCCAUUUCCUCUUGUUUUGUUACUUGUUCCUUGUGAGAGGAGGCUGACUCCCAGCUGACUACAACCUCCUCUUAGGGAGCUGUAGAGAACGAUAAGGUCUCCCCUGAGCCUCUUUUCCUCCAGGCUAAACACUCCCAGCUCCCUCAGCUGCUCCUCAUCUGACUUGUGCUCCAGACCUUUCAUCAGCUCCAUUGUCUGGAUGGACUCCAGCCCCUCAGUGUCUUUCUUGGAGUGAGGAGCCCAGAAAUGAACACAGGAUUCAAGGUCACACAAAGAGGACUUGGCCGUGUGAACUGCUACAGUCACUUUGACAUCACACAGCACACUGGAAAUGUUCUCUCUGCUUUCUUCAGCCCUUAACACAGGUAAGACUGAACCAGAUCUUCUUCUAGCAUAAAAAAGUGCUGCUCCUCUCUGGGGUUACCAGCUGGAAUAGGACUGCUCUGAGGUGUUCACGCUGUGUGCUUCAUACACUCCUAUCAUUCGAGUGGGGACUUUCCAGCAGCCUUUCAUAAGAGUUUUGCUUUUGCACUACUGUUGGUUUCUGCAGGAUUAAACAAGAUAACUGGUGUAGCACUGGGGAUGGUGUUUGUUGAACUGAAUGCUGUUAUCUCCAUGCUUCAGUUUCCAUAUGCCCAAAUCCAAGGGUAGUGAUGCUUUCCAGCUCUGUGAACGCCUUUGAACUCUGCUGCCAAGAAGAGCUGAUAAUGUGGAUAGCAUGGUUACAAUGAGGUUUGUUGCUCAAACAGAUCCCUGGGGUAAGACAAAUAAAACCAGAUAAAUCCCCUAUAAAUACACUUCUUACAUUGGAGAAAAGCCAUGUUCUGGCACCCCCAAGCAGACCACCUGAUUGCCAAGCAGCUGAAACCUGCAUCUUCUCCAUGCCAGAGGCAGCUGUGGCUGCAAAGAAGUGCAGAAGUAGUUGCCAGCUGAUGGGCUAGUGGGGCACCAACAUCAGUGGUGUUGCCUCAUGGACAGGGUAUGCUGAUAUCCACAGGACUGUAUUAAGAAGAUCUGAAGGUGCAUGGGAAUGCUUUGUUCCUGCUCAGUGUCAGACACAAAAAGUAAACCCAAAUUUGUCUUCAGUUCCCCAUGACCACAGGAUGCUCCAUGAAGUUAAGCAAAGUGGAUGUUAGGAAUGACCAGGAGACAAAGUCCUCUGGAACAUCUCCUGAAGCUCAUCACCAGGACACCUCCCUGGCUUGUAGACCCUUGUUCACUGAGAUACUGUGUCCUGCCAGGAGACAUGCUGAAACACAAACAGGUAGAACAGGAUAGAUUCAGACCCAAAGUUUCAAAUACCUAAAAUUUUGUGAAAUGAACCCCUGAGCAAUGGAUGGAAGACCCCGGUGACUUAGUUAUUUCCCUCUUACACUCAUGUCUAGACUUUGAAAGCUGCAGUAGGUGACUGAUACAGUGAAAUAGGAUAUAUAUUUAUUUUUCUUUCAUCAUCUUUAUUUUCCCUUUAACAAGCAUAUUUAGAAUCAGUGGGAAGAGACAAACAGAAAAAAAUUAAAACCAAAGUAAAAUUUGGUUUAGUUCUUCCAAUAACCUGAUACAACUGUAAAUUUGAGAAACCAAGAAAAAUCUUAGCUUCAUUUACCCACUUAGUUAAUAAUUAUAGUUCCUAAAUAAUAAGUCAUUCUGUAGCCUGAAGUUCUUGUUCUGAGUAUAUAUUUAUAUUAGCAGUUAAGUAUACUUUUCAUGGGCAAUUAAGACAUUAUUCGUUCCUAGCUAUUCAGAGGCAUCUCAGGAGGGAAUGGGGAAAGACGCAAUUGUAAAGCCACGAAGAUAAUAAGAGCCAAAGUCCCUUUCCUCAUCUUGUGAUAUUGAUUUUUAUAACAUAAACAGAGGCACUGAAUGCUGAAUCUUGGUAAUAUACCUAUUUUAAAUGCCAGUUGUUGAGUAAAUAGACCUCUGUGGGGAUAUGUUUGUUUGAAAAGUCCUUUGGGAUUAGGGAAUAUUAGCCCGGCUUUCAGCCUGAGACCUAUUUUGUGAGGCGUCUUUGUUACUUUGUCAGCUUUCUAAAGCCUUUUAUGAUAGGUCUUGGCCCUGGUGAUAUUUAUUCAAGUAAACCUAAGAAUAAGAGUUAAGAUGCAGCUGUUCCAACACUGUGGACAUGUUUUGGUCUCCGUGUGUUUUAACUCGACCCUGAAGUGCAGGACACCUCAGAGUGACUAACAAAGUAUUCACACUCAAGCCUUAGUUUAACUCUUAGCUAUUUUCCACAGACAGUACCUGCUUCUAAUUAAUUCUGGCUCUGAAUCAUUUUUCCUCAGACACAAGAACUGGUUAGUUAUUUACUUUCCAGCAGUUUGCUCAUAAGGCCCAGGGUUUGAACAGGGCUGUUCCUGGCACUUUCUUGCAGCCCUGCAUUCUGCCCUUCCUCCAAGGAGUACAAGGUUUUAAUUUUUGUAUUUUCCAGCCAAAGAAAAUAAAAUUAAUCUCUGUCAAACAGGGCAUCCUCCAGCUCCUUGACUCAGGUUUGCGACAUGGGAAGAGCAUUCCCAGGCUAGACUGAUCUUCCCUUGCUUGCUAUUACAUCAGGCUAGUGAAGCUACUUUUAUUAUCAGUAGUUAAUGAAAGGCAUUUUUGGGGUUUUGCUGUGGUUCCCAUUAAGUCUUGGGGUUUUCCAGCUAGCCUGAAUCAAAAUCAUUUCAUUCUGCAUCAUUUAAUUCAGACCAUAUGAUACCUGACGUAAAAUUGGAAGGUGAGUGUGGGUGUGUGAUUACUCAGAGUGGGUUGUCAUCAGGAAGAAUCUUUUAAUCAGAUUUAAUAUUUUAUCAGGCCCUUGACUGCUGCAUAUGGAAGAAUUUGACUUUUAUUUGUAAUUUGAAUGUGCUAAUGGUGUCUGAUGAGGAAAAAGCAAAAUACAUUAUUAAAAUCUUCAGUAAACCAAACUGGAUGACAGUAGCUCUUCUCCUCAUAGUGUAUCUACCCUUUUGUAUACCACACAUUAGAUAAAUAUAUAAAUACAAAAAAUACAAAAUUUAUUUUCAUGAGAAAGGUCAUUAUCUAGACUUUACUACUAUGCUGUGUCACACGGGAACUGAAAAUCACAGGACCACAGAUGACAGAGGAAAACUAGAAAAUGAGGACUCCUAUAACAAUGUGUUGCAAUCCCCUAAAUUGUUCCUGUCCAUCUCCAGAUUUUAUAAACAAAGAGAAAAAUUAGUCUUAAAAUUCCUGAGGUCCUAAACUCUCAGGAAGGGGACUGGGCCACAACAUUAUUGCACUGUGAUCACGGUGACAUCAUAUGUAUAAAGACAAAAUUAGGGAGGCAUCACUGCAGAAACAAGCAAGCCAGCCAUGACUCUCAAUUUCUGGGACAGGGUGUGGGUUUGACCUGAUGCUCUCAGACUGUCACAAGUAGUAGGCAUUAAACAACACUGCAUCUGCAAUCAGAAAGUAUAAGGAAAUGUGAAAAAUAAAGGUCUAGGCCUGAGCAGAAGGUAGUUAAUUGGUGACACAUGGUGGUAAAAAAUCCUAUAAAAGGGACGUAAAUUUUAGUAGAUUAAAUCAAAAUCAGGUAUCUAACUUUAGAUAUCUACACCUAUAUGAGAGGGAUCUUAAGCAUCCAAAUAACUGAUUUUCCUACACCUCACCUCUGUAACAGGAGGCUUGGGAUUUUUCUCCCUGUGUAUGUCCUGGGGGUGUUUUCAGUACAUGGGUACUUGGAAAGAGUUUUGAAGUUCCUGUGCAGAAGAAACUACCUUCCCCAAGUGUUAUCAUGAAUACCCAGCCCCCCACACUGACUUUAGAGAGCGUGGUGUUCCAUUUCCAUGGCAAACCCACAGCUGCAGGUUGUUUGUUUCCACAGGCGGAUUUGAAGUAGAUGCCAUCUUAAUCACUGACUGUGAGAAAUCACGGACCCCCAUUCCAGAGGCAAGAUCUUCCACAAACACAGGGCUUGCUCUGGGAAGGUAUUUCUCCGAGCAGAACACAGAGGGAUUGUAGGAUCAGACAGAAACCCAGUGUUAGUGAAGUCAAAGAGAAAAAUCUGGGCAGAAUCCAGAACUUAACUCAGGCUUUAUUCAACUCAGCUUGGCAAGUGCAGUCGUCAUGGUCCUGUUGACUUAAUAGAGUGAUGACAAUUUGCAUCUGCAGAGGAGGAAUCCCAGGAGAAAGAGAAACUUCCUUCAGAGAAAAGUGGCCAGAGUUUAUCAGGAAAACCUGCACAAGCAAGUGUAGGCCCUAACAAAAUGCACAUAUUGCAUUGAUUUUCUGCUUCACUGAGAGAAGGGAGUGACUACACUAAAUACAAUUUCUUCCACAGUAUCUGGAACAUGCUUAGCUGUGUCAUCAGAAGUAAUUUUUAACAAAAUGAAGACUUUACCAUAGCUAUUAAAAAUGUAGCAAUAAAGCAAAAAGUCUUAUGAGGUGGUGACAUAAGUGGUCAUGAUUCAUUUUUAUGAGAAAACAAUAUAGUGGAGACUGAGCCAGACUCUUCCUAGAGGUGCACAGUGGGCAAGAGGCCAUGGAGACAACUCACAAGAGUAGAACUUCCAGUUAGGUACUAGAAAAAAAUCUCCCAGGAAGGGUAGUCAGAUAUUUGAGCAAUUUGCCCAGUGAGGUUUUGCAACAUCUGUCCCUGAGGAUAUUAAAAACUCAGCUGGAAUAAGUCCUGAGUAACCUGAUCUAAAUUGGCUCUUUUUUGAGUAAGUGGUCAGACUAUGUGAUUUUCAAAAGUCUCUUCCAAACAUUCAUUGUUCUUCUUCCACGACUCUGUGAUGAGAUUUAGUUAAUUCACAAAAUUAAAAUAGUUUUGCUGUAUUCCCAGUUCUUAAGCAGGUUUCUCUGACAGAGACAGGAAAGCCACAGAAAUUCUCAGUUUUAGUUUUCCUACGUGAAAAAUGGAAACUAAAGUAUUUGUCUAACCACAGUGGCAUUUGUGUCGUGUAGACCAUCACUGUCUGCCAAGUGCUUCAGGUACUGAGAGGACUGAUAUCAUACACACAUUUAAACACCUUAUGAAUAGCCAUUAAAUAGUAAG